rnacentral:ncRNA from 1 species
GAGUUUGAGGGGCGCUGCAACAGGGAUUACUCUGCUAGGCUCAAACCACUUUCAGAUAUUAACGGCGCUCAUCUUAU